rnacentral:rRNA from 1 species
GAUGAACGCUGGCGGCGUGCCUAAUACAUGCACGUAGAGCGAAGCGGGGACGGGUGAGUAACACGUGGAUAACCUCAUAUAAGACUGGGAUAACUUCGGGAAACCGUAGCUAAAACGGAUACUUAUAGUUGGAUCCGCGCUGCAUUAUCUAGUUGGUAAGGUAACGGCUUACCAAGGCAACGAUGCAUAGCCGCCCUGAUAGGGUGAUUGGCCACACUGUAACCAAGACACGGUCCAGCCUCCUACGGGAGUCAGCAGUAGGGAAUCUUCCGCAAUGGGCGAAAGCCUGACGGAGCAACGCCGCGUCACUGAUGAGGGUCUUCGGAUCGUAAAACUCUGUUAUUAGGGAAGCGGUACCUAUUCAGAAAGCCACGGCUAACUACGUGCCAGCCGCCGCGGUAAUAC